UAGAGUUUGAUUAUGGCUCAGAUUGAACGCUGGCGGCAUGCCUUACACAUGCAAGUCGAACGGCAGCGCGGGGCAACCUGGCGGCGAGUGGCGAACGGGUGAGUAAUAUAUCGGAACGUGCCCUGGAGUGGGGGAUAACGCAGCGAAAGUUGCGCUAAUACCGCAUACGAUCUAAGGAUGAAAGCAGGGGACCGCAAGGCCUUGUGCUCCUGGAGCGGCCGAUAUCUGAUUAGCUAGUUGGUGGGGUAAAGGCCUACCAAGCCGACGAUCUGUAGCUGGUUGAGAGGACGACCAGCCACACUGGGACUGAGACACGGCCCAGACUCCUACGGGAGGCAGCAGUGGGGAAUUUUGGACAAUGGGCGCAAGCCUGAUCCAGCCAUGCCGCGUGCGGGAAGAAGGCCUUCGGGUUGUAAACCGCUUUUGUCAGGGAAGAAAUCCUUUGGGUUAAUACCUCGGAGGGAUGACGGUACCUGAAGAAUAAGCACCGGCUAACUACGUGCCAGCAGCCGCGGAAUAC
rnacentral:rRNA from 1 species